rnacentral:rRNA from 1 species
GGAGGACAGUGGCGAAAGGGUGAGUAACACGUGAGUAUCUACCUCCAGGUCGGGAACAGCCCGCGGAAACGCGGAUUAAUGCCCGACGGUCCCUUCGGGGUAAAGAGGAAUCGCCCGGAGACGAGCUCGCGGCCCAUCAGCUUGUUGGCGGGGUAACGGCCCACCAAGGCGACGACGGGUAGGUGGUCUGAGAGGAUGGUCACCCACACUGGGACUGAGAUACUGCCCAGACUCCUACGGGAGGCUGCAGUCGAGAAUCAUCCGCAAUGGGCGAAAGCCUGACGGUGCAAUGCCGCGUGGGGGAUGAAGGCCUUCGGGUCGUAAACCCCUGUCAGAGGGGACGAAAAACAUGACGGUACCCUCAGAGGAAGCCACGGCUAACUACGUGCCAGCAGCCGCGGUAAUACGUAGGUGGCGAGCGUUAUUCGGAUUUACUGGGCGUAAAGGGUCCGCAGGGGGUUUGCCGAGUCCGAUGUGAAAGUCCGCAGCUCAACUGCGGAACUGCGUCGGAUACUGGUGAACUUGAGUGCGCGAAGGGCGAGCGGAAUUCCAGGUGUAGCGGUGGAAUGCGUAGAUAUCUGGAAGAACACCGGCGGCGAAAGCGGCUCGCUGGCGCGCCACUGACCCUCAUGGACGAAAGCGUGGGGAGCGAACAGGAUUAGAUACCCUGGUAGUUCACGCUGUUAACGGUGCAGACUCGAAUGCGGUGGCGGUCCCCUCCGUGUCUAAGCCAACGCGUUUAAGUCUGCCGCCUGGGAUCUACGGCCGCAAGGCUUAAACUCAAAGGAAUUGUACGGGGGCCCGCACAAGCGGUUGGAGCAUGUGGCUUAAUUCGAGGCAACGCGAAGAACCUUACCCGGGCUUGACAUAUUCCGGACCGCCUGUGAAAGCAGGUUUUCCCUUCGGGGACCGGUAUACAGGUGCUGCAUGGCUGUCGUCAGCUCGUGCCGUGAGGUGUUCGGUUAAGUCCGGCAACGAGCGCAACCCGUAUCGUCAGUUGCCAUCAGGUAAUGCUGGGCACUCUGGCGAGACUGCCCGUGUCAAGCGGGAGGAAGGCGCGGACGACGUCAAGUCCGUAUGGC